rnacentral:rRNA from 1 species
AACCAGUAUUAGAGCACUGCCUGCCCGGUGACUAAUCGUUAAACGGCCGCGGUAUCCUGACCGUGCAAAGGUAGCAUAAUCACUUGUUCUCUAAUUAGGGACUUGUAUGAAUGGCCACACGAGGGUUUUACUGUCUCUUACUUUUAAUCAGUGAAAUUGACCUCUCCGUGAAGAGGCGGAGAUAACAAAAUAAGACGAGAAGACCCUAUGGAGCUUCAAUUAAUCAACCCAAAAACCAUAACCUUAAACCACCAAGGGAUAACAAAACCUUAUAUGGGCUGACAAUUUCGGUUGGGGUGACCUCGGAGUACAAAAAACCCUCCGAGUGAUUAAAACUUAGGCCCACUAGCCAAAGUACAAUAUCACUUAUUGAUCCAAUCCUUUGAUCAACGGAACAAGUUACCCUAGGGAUAACAGCGCAAUCCUAUUCUAGAGUCCAUAUCGACAAUAGGGUUUACGACCUCGAUGUUGGAUCAGGACAUCCUAAUGGUGCAGCUGCUAUUAAGGGUUCGUUUGUU